UUUAAAGUUUUUUGUGUGUUGAUUAUCAUCUGAAAUUGAUUUCUUUGUGUUGAUUCAUUUUGGUUUCUCUAAAGAACUAAAAGAGCAAAUUGAGUGGUAAAAGACAGAGUGUUUUUAUUAUUAAAAAAAGCCAAAAAAAAAUGAGUGAAACACGAGUGAUUGAGUGUAAACACGUGAGUAAAGUGGUGAGGUCCAUUUUUAAACACUUGUUCCUAAUUUCACAAAUAUUUCACAAUUAUGUCUAGUCCACC
rnacentral:lncRNA from 1 species